rnacentral:rRNA from 1 species
CCUACGGGAGGCAGCAGUGAGGAAUAUUGGUCAAUGGACGAGAGUCUGAACCAGCCAAGUAGCGUGAAGGAUGACUGCCCUAUGGGUUGUAAACCUCUUUUAUAUGGGAAUAAAAUGUUCCACGUGUGGGAUUUUGUAUGUACCAUAUGAAUAAGGAUCGGCUAACUCCGUGCCAGCAGCCGCGGUAAUUCGGAGGAUCCGAGCGUUAUCCGGAUUUAUUGGGUUUAAAGGGAGCGUAGGUGGGUUGUUAAGUCAGGUGUGAAAGUUUGCGGCUCAACCGUAAAAUUGCAGUUGAAACUGGCAGUCUUGAGUACAGUAGAGGUGGGCGGAAUGCGUGGUGUAGCGGUGAAAUGCUUAGAUAUCACGAAGAACUCCGAUUGCGAAGGCAGUUCACUGGACUGCAACUGACACUGAGGCUCGAAAGUGUGGGUAUCAAACAGGAUUAGAUACCCGGGUAGUC